rnacentral:lncRNA from 1 species
AGGGAGGGGGGUGGUGGGAGGGAUGGGGGGUUGGGGGAAACUGGGGAAGUGGGGGAGCCGAGGGGUAACCAGGGAAGCGGGGGUACCGGGGGCAACCAGGGGAAGAUGGGGAAGCGGGGUGCAGGGGCGUUUGCGCGGGCCAAGGACCACCUUGGAAAUCUGGAGCCUGGCAGGAGCGGCGCAGGGUUGAGGGGCUGGCUUGGGCAGGUGCCCUAUAGGCAGGGCAACAUCGGCAUGGGGGGUGACAGGCCCGAGCUGGGGUGCGGAGGGAAGAGGGGGAGCCAGGCAUUCAUCCCGGUCAAUUUUGGUUUCAGGUCGUGGCGGCUGGUGGUCAGGGGGAGUUGGAGAGAGGUUCGCCCCGGGGCCUGGGGCAGCGGAGGUGUAGCUGGCAGCUGUGGGCAGGUGAGGACAGCCGUCUGCCGGGCCAGGUGAGUCCCCUUCCCUCCCCAGGCCUUGUUUCUCUGGCCUCCUGCAUCCGGAGGUUCUGGGGAGCGAGGGCCGGCGAGGCGAAGCGGCUGACCCCCCGGCAGAGUGGCGGCGGACGACAGGCAAGGCGGGCAGAACAGGUGACACGUCUCAGGGGGAGCUGGGACCGGGCGGGGCUGGGGGGCCGGGGCCGUCCCAGGUGGAAAGAGCAUCUCAAGCGAGUCUGGUGGGAGACGAGGCAGGGCUGCCAGCAGGGAGGAGACGCAACAGGCGGGGGGCAUUCCAGGCCCGGGUCGGACAGGACCCGUCGGGGGUGUCAGGACAGUGGGGUCCCCAGCCGCCACUUCACCCACUGCAAUUCAUUUAGUAGCAGGUACAGGAGCGGCUCUGGCCGGGCCUCUUGAGGCCUGAGCUGGAGCCUCGAGGGCCGGAGAAUGGGAAAGAAGGUGCAGUGUGCCAGACAGACGUCACCUGGAGGGAGCACGGCCGUGGGGACGGGCCCCAGAGAGAUUUCGGCAGCAGGGAGGCUGCGCGGGCCCAGCCUGCGGACGUGCGUUCCACGCAGCACUGCGGCCCAGGGGCUGGCGCGGCAGGGCCCCCGGUGUCCUUGGUGGCACUGUGCGCCCUCGCCGCUCGCCCCUGGGACUGGCACGGCAGACAGGACAGCACCCAGGGGAGUCAAGGGCACUGACGAGACCAGACUAGGCGAGGCGGGUGGGGUGGAAUGGAUGUGACCUCUGGGGGGAGGGAGGUGGGGACGCAGGCAGGGGCGAGGCGCCGGAGCCUGGCGGCGAGCGAGGCCAAGGCGGGCCUCUGCGGGUGACAACGGAGCAGAGAUGGGUGACUCUGCGCUCGCACCGGAGACAGGUGAGUGUCUGGCCCCGGCCUGCCGCCCUCCCGGCCCCGCCACCGCCUCUGCCCUCCCCCUCGACCAG